AUCUGAUGCUGAGGGCAUUUGGUGCACAAUUUCUUAAACCGUUCCCAGUACUCAUACAGAGAUUCGCCUGGGUGUAGUUUAAUGCCGCAUAUCUCCUUUCUUAGGCU